rnacentral:rRNA from 1 species
CGAAUAACCUCGGGAAACUGAGGCUAAUGCGGAAUAGCGUUCAUCGCCUGGAGUGGCACGAACGCGCAAACGUUACGGCGCCAUAGGAUGUGGCUGCGGCCGAUUAGGUAGACGGUGGGGUAACGGCCCACCGUGCCCAUAAUCGGUACGGGUUGUGAGAGCAAGAGCCCGGAGACGGUAUCUGAGACAAGAUACCGGGCCCUACGGGGCGCAGCAGGCGCGAAACCUUUACACUGCACGCGAGUGCGAUAAGGGGACUCCGAGUGCGAGGGCAUAUAGUCCUCGCUUUUCACGACCGUAAGGUGGUCGUAGAAUAAGUGCUGGGCAAGACCGGUGCCAGCCGCCGCGGUAAUACCGGCAGCACGAGUGAUGACCGCUAUUAUUGGGCCUAAAGCGUCCGUAGCUGGCCACGCAAGUCUAUCGGGAAAUCCGCGCGCUUAACGCGCGGGCGUCCGGUGGAAACUGCGUGGCUUGGGACCGGAAGACCAGAGGGGUACGUCCGGGGUAGGAGUGAAAUCCCGUAAUCCUGGACGGACCACCGGUGGCGAAAGCGCCUCUGGAAGACGGAUCCGACGGUGAGGGACGAAAGCUCGGGUCACGAACCGGAUUAGAUACCCGGGUAGUCCGAGCUGUAAACGAUGUCUGCUAGGUGUGGCACAGGCUACGAGCCUGUGCUGUGCCGUAGGGAAGCCGUGAAGCAGACCGCCUGGGAAGUACGUCCG